rnacentral:misc_RNA from 1 species
GCUGCUUGAGUUUCCUCUG